GCCUUGGUAGCUCAAUUGGCUAGAGCGUGGGACUUUUACAAAGGAUUUCAUCCGUUGGAACGAAAUCCCAAGGUUGCGGGUUCGACCCCCGCCUGAGGCG